GUUCGCCGCCCGCGACCUGGCGAGAAGUCCAUUGAACCUUAUCAUUUAGAGGAAGGAGAAGUCGUAACAAGGUUUCCGUAGGUGAACCUGCGGAAGGAUCAUUG
rnacentral:rRNA from 3 species